ACCUGUCUCCUGAGUGAUCUGCUGCAGUACCUGACCCAGCUUUAUUCAGCUCCUACAGAGAUGUCCUGCCAGCAGAGCCAGCAGCAGUGCCAGCCUCCUCCCAAAUGUACCCCUAAAUGCCCACCCAAGUGCCCCCCAAAAUGCCCUCCCCAGUGCCCAGCCCCGUGCCCACCUCCAGUCCCUUCUUCUUGUGGCUCCAGCUCUGGGGGCUGCUGCAGCUCUGGGGGCGGUGGCUGCUGCAGCUCUGGGGGCGGUGGCUGCUGCCUGAGCCACCACAGACCCCGCCGGUCCCUCCGACGCAGACCUCAGAGCUCCAGCUGCUGUGGCAGUGGCAGUGGCAGUGGCCAGCAGUCUGGGGGUUCCAGCUGCUGCCAUAGCUCUGGAGGCUCCGGCUGCUGCCACAGCUCUGGGGGUUGCUGCUGACCUGGGCCAUGAGGAGCAUGGAGGGACAGCACUGGCAGAGCCCAGCUGCCGAGGAUCUGAGUCAGCCCGAGGCUUCUCUUCUCUCGUUUCCCACGGAAGGUCAUCUGAAAUGCUUUGAGUUCCCUCCUUUAUCCUGCCCGUGUUCACUCCACUGUGGGGUUGAGGUCUAGCCCGUGCUAUUCUCUGGCCUGGUUUUCCCUCUCAGAUAUAGUUCUUUGGCAAACGAGGUGUUGAAAUUCAGUUCCGAAGCUGUUUUCUCUGUAACAAUAAAGCUUUUGAUUCCUGGCA